rnacentral:rRNA from 1 species
CCUACGGGGAGCAGCAGUGGGGAAUAUUGGACAAUGGGCGAAAGCCUGAUCCAGCCAUGCCGCGUGUGUGAAGAAGGCCUUCGGGUUGUAAAGCACUUUCAGUGGGGAAGAAAGCCUUGGGGCUAAUACCCUCGAGGAAGGACAUCACCCACAGAAGAAGCACCGGCUAACUCCGUGCCAGCAGCCGCGGUAAUACGGAGGGUGCGAGCGUUAAUCGGAAUUACUGGGCGUAAAGCGCGCGUAGGCGGUCUGAUAAGCCGGUUGUGAAAGCCCCGGGCUCAACCUGGGAACGGCAUCCGGAACUGUCAGGCUAGAGUGCAGGAGAGGAAGGUAGAAUUCCCGGUGUAGCGGUGAAAUGCGUAGAGAUCGGGAGGAAUACCAGUGGCGAAGGCGGCCUUCUGGACUGACACUGACGCUGAGGUGCGAAAGCGUGGGUAGCAAACAGGACUAGAUACCCCGGUAGUC